GAGAGAGAGAGGAGAGAGAGAGAGAGAGGAGAGAGAGAGAGAGAGAGAGAGAAAAUCCAUUUAAAUCUGUAUUAUAUUAAGUCUGAAGCCCCUGAUCUCAACAGAUUAAGGUAAAUUGGGCAGAGAAUAAAAGAAGGAAGAAGAGAAAGAAAAGUAAAAGUCUAACCACCAACGUGAAAGAAGCCUAACGUCCACUCAAAUUUGAUCUCCGAAACUGGAGGGUACACUUUUUUGUUGACUAUUGUCUGUCAUCAGGAGAACUUACCAAUCUUGACCAUCUUUUGCAAGUAACUGUAAAGUGAACAUGCAUUGGAACUGAAGGAAGAUGCCACAAAUGGAUAAGAGCAGGAAGGGGUAGAUUAAUCUUACAGUAGGUUAAAAGAUCACUUAAAAGGAUCCGCAAGUGAAUUUCAGAACAGUGCUUAUUUUUAAAUUCAUCGGGCUCCUAUCACACAAUAGAGCAUUUCUGGUGGAUCACUCAGAUGAAAUAGAAAUGAGUCACGAUGGAAGCUCAAAGUCAGAGGCGUGGAAAAUGAACCGCAUUAAUUCUGAUCACCUGUGAUGUUUCUUUUUAGCAACCAGAACAUUUCAC